rnacentral:rRNA from 1 species
UACGGAGGAUCCAAGCGUUAUCCGGAUUUAUUGGGUUUAAAGGGUGCGUAGGUGGGCUGAUAAGUCAGAGGUGAAAGCUAGCAGCUUAACUGUUAAAUUGCCUUUGAUACUGUUAUUCUUGAGUAUAGUUGGCGUUGGCGGAAUGUGACAUGUAGCGGUGAAAUGCGUAGAUAUGUCACAGAACACCGAUCGCGAAGGCAGCUAACGAAACUAUCACUGACACUGAUGCACGAAAGCGUGGGGAGCAAACAGG